rfam:Myotis lucifugus cont2.315, whole genome shotgun sequence.
ACCCCCUGGCAAUGGGUAAGGAGACACCCGAUGGGUGGUGUUGCUCUUAUAUCAGUCAGGGGUUCAGACGUACAGUCCUGGGUUCAUCCUAGCUGAUGCCUGUGUGGAUGGCCAGAGCGUUUCAUGCCUGGGGCACAUAA